rnacentral:rRNA from 1 species
UACGGAGGGUGCAAGCGUUAUCCGGAUUCACUGGGUUUAAAGGGUGUGUAGGCGGAUUUUUAAGUCAGUGGUGAAAUCUCCGGGCUCAACCCGGAAACUGCCAUUGAUACUAUUAGUCUUGAAUUCUGUUGAGGUGGGCGGAAUACAUCAUGUAGCGGUGAAAUGCUUAGAUAUGACGUAGAACACCGAUUGCGAAGGCAGCUCACUAAGCAGACAUUGACGCUGAGGCACGAAAGCGUGGGGAUCAAACAGG